UACGUAGGCAGCGAGCGUUGUUCGGAGUUACUGGGCGUUAAGGGUGUGUAGGCGGUUGUUUAAGUUUGGGGUGAAAUCUCCCGGCUCAACUGGGAGGGUGCGCCGAAUACUGAAUGACUUGGAGUGCGGGAGAGGUGAGUGGAAUUCCUGGUGUAGCGGUGAAAUGCGUAGAUAUCAGGAGGAACACCGGUGGUGUAGACGGCUCACUGGACCGUAACUGACGCUGAGACACGAAAGCGUGGGUAGCAAACAGG
rnacentral:rRNA from 1 species